rnacentral:rRNA from 1 species
UGUAGACACGUAGUUUGAUCAGUGGCGUACAGGACGAACGCUGGCGGCGCGCCUAACACAUGCAAGUCGAACGAGCGAAGAGGAGCUUGCUUCUCUGAGCGAGUGGCGAACGGGUGAGUAACGCGUGAGGAACCUGCCUCAAAGAGGGGGACAACAGUUGGAAACGACUGCUAAUACCGCAUAAGCCCACGGGUCGGCAUCGACCAGAGGGAAAAGGAGCAAUCCGCUUUGAGAUGGCCUCGCGUCCGAUUAGCUAGUUGGUGAGGUAAUGGCCCACCAAGGCGACGAUCGGUAGCCGGACUGAGAGGUUGAACGGCCACAUUGGGACUGAGACACGGCCCAGACUCCUACGGGAGGCAGCAGUGGGGAAUAUUGCACAAUGGGGGAAACCCUGAUGCAGCGACGCCGCGUGGAGGAAGAAGGUCUUCGGAUUGUAAACUCCUGUUGUUGAGGAAGAUAAUGACGGUACUCAACAAGGAAGUGACGGCUAACUACGUG